rnacentral:rRNA from 1 species
GAGUUUGAUCCUAGCUCAGGAUGAACGCCGGCGGUGUGCCUAAUACAUGCAAGUCGUACGCACUGGCCCAACUGAUUGAUGGUGCUUGCACCUGAUCGACGAUGGAUCACCAGUGAGUGGCGGACGGGUGAGUAACACGUAGGUAACCUGCCCUGUACAGGGGAUAACAAUCAGAAAUGACUGCUAAUACCGCAUAAGACCACAGCACCGCAUGGUGCAGGGGUAAAAACUCCGGUGGUACAGGAUGGACCCGCGUCUGAUUAGCUGGUUGGUGAGGUAACGGCUCACCAAGGCGACGAUCAGUAGCCGGCUUGAGAGAGUGAACGGCCACAUUGGGACUGAGACACGGCCCAAACUCCUACGGGAGGCAGCGAGGU